rnacentral:misc_RNA from 1 species
GGAUGAAGAACGUAGCGAAAUGCGAUACGUAAUGUGAAUUGCAGAAUUCAGUGAAUCAUCGAAUCUUUGAACGCAUAUUGCGCUCUUUGGUAUUCCGAAGAGCAUGCUUGUUUGAGUAUCAGUAAACACCUCAACCUCUUCUUGAUUUUUCAAAAGGAGGGUGGACUUGAGCUAUCCCAACAACCUUUACCGGUCGGCGGGCGGCUUGAAAUGCAGGUGCAGCUGGACUUUUAUCUGAGCUAAAAGCAUAUCUAUUUAGUCCUCGUCAAACAGGAUUAUUACUUUUGCUGCAGCUAACAUAAAGGAUAAUUGUCCUCUUUGCUGACUGAUGCAGGAUUUUACGACACUUUAUGUGUUGUUCAACUCGAUCUCAAAUCAAGUAAGACUACCCGCUGAACUUAAGCAUAUCAAUAAGCGGAGGA